AGAGACUUCAGAAUUGGAAAGAAAAGGUUUAUACUCUUUUUUUGGCUUUAUUUUGUACCUUUUUCCCCCAGGUUUAGAUGGAAGAUAUCUAGUACUAAAAAUCCGAUUUAAUCUUUAGGCUUUACCUAAUUUUCAAACAAGAGACCAGCAUUUGAAGGGCAAAUCAUGGCUUUCUUUCCCCUCUUCAAGUAGAUUAGAAAGGACCAGGGAGGGCAAGUAUAGGCCAACUGAACAUAAACUAGUCUCUGGUGCCCAGGUGGUUGAGUCCUCCUCUUCCUCAGUCAUUUUUCCUACCCAAAACCUCCGUUCUCCACCCUGCCUCCAUGCUUCCAGGUAUUUACUAGAGAACUAUAGGACCCAAAUCUCCCAUCUUCAGUUUAAGGGAAACUGAAAUGAUAAGGAUCUGAGUCAGUUCUCUUGGAUUCUAUCUUUGUCCUCUUGUAGCCCAGACUGCCUCAUUCAGUCACAUGUUCCCUCUGUGGAGAGGUGGAUCAGAAUGAAGAGACACAAGACUUUGAGAAGAAACUCAUGGAAUGCUGUAUCUGCAAUGAGAUUGUUCAUCCUGGCUGCCUCCAGAUGGAUGGAGAGGGGUUGCUUAAUGAAGAAUUGCCAAAUUGCUGGGAAUGUCCAAAGUGCUACCAGGAGGACAGCUCGGAGAAAGCCC
rnacentral:sRNA from 1 species